AGAUUGAACGCUGGCGGAAUGCUUUACACAUGCAAGUCGAGCGGCAGCGCGGGGCAACCUGGCGGCGAGCGGCGAACGGGUGAGUAAUGCAUCGGAACAUGUCCAUUCGUGGGGGAUAGCCCGGCGAAAGCCGGAUUAAUACCGCAUACGCCCUUAGGGGGAAAGCCGGGGACCGCAAGGCCUGGCGCGAAUGGGUUGGCCGAUGCCCGAUUAGCUAGUUGGCGGGGUAAUGGCCCACCAAGGCGAUGAUCGGUAGCUGGUCUGAGAGGAUGAUCAGCCACACUGGGACUGAGACACGGCCCAGACUCCUACGGGAGGCAGCAGUGGGGAAUUUUGGACAAUGGGGGCAACCCUGAUCCAGCCAUUCCGCGUGAGUGAAGAAGGCCGUUCGGGUUGUAAAGCUCUUUUGUCCGGAACGAAACGGUUGUGGUGAAUAGCCACGACUACUGACGGUACCGAAGAAUAAGCAACGCUAACUACGUGCCAGCAGCCGC
rnacentral:rRNA from 1 species